rnacentral:rRNA from 1 species
UGCAGUCGAACGGGGCUUAAGGGAAAGCGGAUUUCGGUCCAAUGGAACUUAAGCCAAGUGGCGGACGGGUGAGUAACGCGUGGAGAACCUGCCCCAUACCGGGGGAUAACAGCCAGAAAUGGCUGCUAAUACCGCAUAAGCGCACAGGGCCGCAUGGCCCGGUGUGAAAAACCCCGGUGGUAUGGGAUGGCUCCGCGUCUGAUUAGCCAGUUGGCAGGGUAACGGCCUACCAAAGCGACGAUCAGUAGCCGGCCUGAGAGGGCGGACGGCCACAUUGGGACUGAGACACGGCCCAAACUCCUACGGGAGGCAGCAGUGGGGAAUAUUGCACAAUGGGGGAAACCCUGAUGCAGCGACGCCGCGUGAGUGAAGAAGUAUUUCGGUACGUAAAGCUCUAUCAGCAGGGAAGAAGAUGACGGUACCUGACUAAGAAGCCCCGGCUAACUACGUGCCAGCAGCCGCGGUAAUACGUAGGGGGCAAGCGUUAUCCGGAUUUACUGGGUGUAAAGGGAGCGUAGACGGCCAGGUAAGCCUGAAGUGAAAGGCGGGGGCUCAACCCCCGGACUGCUUUGGGAACUGCCGGGCUGGAGUACCGGAGAGGUAAGCGGAAUUCCUAGUGUAGCGGUGAAAUGCGUAGAUAUUAGGAGGAACACCAGCGGCGAAGGCGGCUUACUGGACGGAGACUGACGUUGAGGCUCGAAAGCGUGGGGAGCAAACAGGAUUAGAUACCCUGGUAGUCCACGCGGUAAACGAUGAAUACUAGGUGUGAGGGAGCAAAGCUGCCUGGUGCCGAAGCAAACGCAAUAAGUAUUCCACCUGGGGAGUACGUUCGCAAGAAUGAAACUCAAAGGAAUUGACAGGGACCCGCACAAGCGGUGGAGCA